rnacentral:rRNA from 1 species
UACGGGGGGGCAAGCGUUGUUCGGAAUUACUGGGCGUAAGGGCUCGUAGGCGGCCAACUAAGUCAGACGUGAAAUCCCCAGGCUUAACCUGGGAACUGCGUCUGAUACUGGAUGGCUUGAAUUCGGGAGAGGGAUGCAGAAUUCCAGGUGUAGCGGUGAAAUGCGUAGAUAUCUGGAGGAAUACCGGUGGCGAAGGCGGCAUCCUGGACCGACAUUGACGCUGAUGAGCGAAAGCUAGGGGAGCAAACGGG